rnacentral:pre_miRNA from 9 species
UUUCGAUAAAGUAAAAGUUAAUUAUACUUGUAUGGAGUUGGAACGUUUGCCUACGUUUGCCGCUAGGGGCGCUGUUCCAACUGCUUACAAAUUUGAGUGAACUUUUACGCUAUCGA